ACUCCUACGGGAGGCAGCAGUAGGGAAUCUUCCACAAUGGGCGCAAGCCUGAUGGAGCAACACCGCGUGAGUGAAGAAGGGUUUCGGCUCGUAAAACUCUGUUGUUGAAGAAGAACGUGCGUGAGAGUAACUGUUCACGCAGUGACGGUAUUCAACCAGAAAGUCACGGCUAACUACGUGCCAGCAGCCGCGGUAAU
rnacentral:rRNA from 1 species